UACAGAGGUGGCGAGCGUUAUUCGGAAUUAUUGGGCGUAAAGGGCGCGUAGGCGGCUUGACAAGUCCCGGGUGAAAUCCCUCGGCUUAACCGAGGAACUGCCCUCCAAACUGCUUUGCUUGAGGCCGGGAGAGGUGAGUGGAAUUCCCAGUGUAGCGGUGAAAUGCGUAGAUAUUGGGAGGAACACCAGUGGCGAAGGCGGCUCACCGGACCGGUUCUGACGCUGAGGCGCGAAAGCGUGGGGAGCAAACGGG
rnacentral:rRNA from 1 species